CUGACCAUCAGCAUUGGGCUGCAUUUUCCGGACAACAUCUAGGUCCUCACUCUGGCUUGGGGACCACCGUGUGCUGUGGAAGGGAAAAAGUUAAGCCUCUCCGUGGGACCACAGCCCUGCUAGAGCCUUGUCCACGAGCAGUGACGGCUAAGGCAGAGGACCGGCUAGGUGUUCAUGGACAGAGGGAGAGAUAAAGGAAGUGUGGCAUACAGUGGUCCAGCCGCAAAGAGAGACAAGGAAAUCUCCACGCCACAAUGGUUUGGAAAAUACAUUUCCAGUGAUUAGAUGUACCUUGGUUGGUAUCAGCUGAGAAGAGAACCGUGACAUCACGGAGAGGAGGCAGCACAAGGCCACCGAAGAGGCUGGAACAUUCUGGAAGAGAACUCCAGAUACCAUUUAUAGGUUAUUGGGUAACCAAUUAGAGACCUCAGAGUGUCAUCUCAGGAAGAGUGACAGAGUGUUACAAGCUGAAGGAUCGAGUACUAGCAUGGCCUCCAAGCUGGCAGCAGGUUCACACGACACUCCCUUCUGAGAAGCAGUGUUAACCUGAUACAAUCAUCACUACUCGGCUGCCGCACAUCGAUGCUGGAAUUGCACAGAAUUUUUAUCCAUAGCAGGGAACGUUCUUGAACUCCCAGGCUUGGGGAUGCUCAGAACAGGUUGGGGGAGCAGUGCAGUGAGGUAGUUGUGUCCAUAGCAUGGCUGUGAAGGGCUGGGUUCAAGGGUGGGUUUCCCAUCCACCCACCCACACCAACAGCCUGGCCUAGGUUCACACAGCAGGACGCUAUGCUCACAAGUGCCUAACCCAGCAGCAGCCUGCCUCCAAGCAGCUUCGAAGGACAGGGAUCAUCACUCCUUUCAAAUCAAGACAAGCGAGAGAUGCCACCCAGCGCAGCAGAGAUGUUUGGUGAUCCAGCUUUGCCAGCCAUGUGGCCAGGAGACCAUUUAGGUUAGUGUCUGCCGUGGUAAGCCAGCACACCAUGACAGCUGAGUCCUCAAGAGCCCAGUGGCCCAUUCUCAACGCUGCCUCCGUAUACAUUCCUUCCUUCCAAAGUCAGAUAAACGAAGACAGUACGGGACACGUCUGGAUGACCAUAGUCACAGAUGCUUUCAAAUGAAGUCUCUGGUCAUCCAAAUCCCUCCACUUCCAGUUGGGUUUGACUUUAGAGGAAAGGGACCUGCUGCUGGCCUGGCUCUAUUUACUACGGAAGACGGAAACACUUCCGAACAAGAGCGUAAGCAGCUGGUGUGACACACAUAACCGAGUCCAAGAAGGCACUCCAAGCUCGAAAACAAGGCCAGGGCAAACUGGGGCGACAGGGAUGGACUAGCUAGCCUUGGAUAUCUCAAGUCUCUCUGAGCCCACUUCAGACUAUGCCUGCAGACAUUGGACCUGGGGUGGCAUGCACGUGUGUGUGUGGGGGUGUGCUGGGCAAGUUCUAGGUCCCGAGGAAGACAUGUCCCCGUCUGGCCUCUCGGUCUAGGGCUGCGGUCUAGGGCUGCAGGUGUACAAGGGUCCCUCCCCUACUCUGAAUAGCCCCAGCCAGUGUUCCCAACAGGACACCACUGCGGAGUGCUGCUACCAUGCCAACAGUGACAACAGACACCACUGUCCUGGUUUUUCCCUCCUGAAUUUGCAGUUCUCAGUUCACAGACAAAAGGAGCCCUCCUCUGACAACCAGACACUCGGAGCCUUUCCAGGGCCCAGAAAGUCCGCCUCGGUACGACACUUGUCAAACGUUAAAAGAAUCACUAGGGUCGGCUAGCUUCUUCCCCUGUUUUGUUCUGGAGAGAGACUCUGCUUUCUCUUCUCUCGCUACUGAAUGAAAGUGGGCAGGUCACUGGUGUGGUUUCUCUCGGUAAGUUCGUUUAUUAAUUGUACAAAAGAAACCAAAAAAAAAAUAAAACGAAACAAAAAACCCCUUGGCAUUC